rnacentral:sRNA from 1 species
UUGACAGCUCUUGAAAUAAAACACCUUUAUUUGUCUACAAAACAGGUGCAGAAGAGAGACAGGAGCAGUGAAAACUUGCCCACACUACCCCACCAAUGUCUCAUCUCUGACCUUGAGGGGACCACUCCCAGUGUUGAAAGAGGAGUUCAGCGUACAUGCUCAAACCAUUGACUCA